AUUGAACGCUGGCGGCAGGCCUAACACAUGCAAGUCGAGCGGAUGAGGAGAGCUUGCUCUCUGAUUUAGCGGCGGACGGGUGAGUAAUGCCUAGGAAUCUGCCUGGUAGUGGGGGAUAACGUUCCGAAAGGAACGCUAAUACCGCGUACGUCCUACGGGAGAAAGCAGGGGACCUUCGGGCCUUGCGCUAUCAGAUGAGCCUAGGUCGGAUUAGCUAGUUGGUGAGGUAAUGGCUCACCAAGGCGACGAUCCGUAACUGGUCUGAGAGGAUGAUCAGUCACACUGGAACUGAGACACGGUCCAGACUCCUACGGGAGGCAGCAGUGGGGAAUAUUGGACAAUGGGCGAAAGCCUGAUCCAGCCAUGCCGCGUGUGUGAAGAAGGUCUUCGGAUUGUAAAGCACUUUAAGUUGGGAGGAAGGGCAGUAAGUUAAUACCUUGCUGUUUUGACGUUACCGACAGAAUAAGCACCGGCUAACUCUGUGCCAGCCGCCGCAGUAAAAC
rnacentral:rRNA from 1 species